UAUAGGAAAUAUGUUUAUGAAUGUCAAAGAUCAUCUGUAGGUCUUAGUCAUUUAGUAACUGUCAUGCAUUUUGUGUCAGCCAGAUAUACGCCUCAGAAAUAUACUGAUAAAGCUCUUAGUUACAUUAAAAACUAAAAAAAUAAUUUAAGAAUGACCAGUGGAUGUGCGUAUGAUUAUCUGGAAAUGUGCACAAAAGUGGAACUUGAGAAGGAACAUUUGAUUAUUCCCAUCUCUAAUUUGCUGGGUUUUAUUCUAAAAACAUAUAAUGGCUAUAAUUUAUUCUUACCUGUUCUAAUCCUUGUGAAAAUUUCUUCAGCUUUUAUAAAUUUCAGUUAUUCUUUACGUUCUUUUAAAUUUUAAGAAGAACAGUUGUCCGAAUGAUGUAAGAAUAAUUG